CGGUCGCAAGCGAGCCAUCGAUGUUACUCCACGCGCGGAGUCAGGUUCCAACGGGAACUCCACUGGAAGCAGGUUCCCACGACCAGGUGUGGUGUCGUAUGGUCGGACGGACCGAGGCAACAUGAUCAUAAACGUGGAUGACAACGUGACCGGCAAACCUGGCAGCACCGAAAACACCAGCCUAGCUAAAUAGCACCGAAUCCAGAAGUUAGCUUUAGUCUUAGUUUAGCAAUUCGCAAAUAAAGAUCCCCAGUAAUAUUUUUUUAAACUUACUCCCGGCAAUCGUAAACAUAAUUAUACACAUGAAUGUUAAUUUAAUAUUACCACGGAAAAUAAGUGGUAAUUAAUACCGUAUUUUUACAGUGCCGGCUUUAUGCGUGUUUUGUUUUAUUUUGUUUGGUUGUGAUAAUCAAGGUUAUUAGACUCCGUACAGGUCCCGCUUGGCAAAGAGUAGCUCAUUUUGAUGCCUCUCGCUACCCCUGGCCUUAGUUUUGAAGGAAUCAUGCGACACACUCGCACUCCACUACCCCAUCCCAUGGAAAAACGCUCCCACCAUUGAGGUGUUGACCAAAAUUUCGCUGUGUGCAUGAGACACACACUCGCACUCCUCCAGCCCUCCACAGCUGAACGCUCCCACCGUUGCGAAUUUGCGAGAAUUUUUGCUCUGAGCGUGAGACCCUGAAGCGCCAGAGAUGACACUAUGUGUAAAGACGAUCAUAAUUCGGUAUGGUCAAAAUGCGUCGUUUGUCGUUUCAUUUAUCUGGUAAUGAUGUUUUCACUUCAUCAAAAUUUUAAACAUUAACAACUAGGCUGAUAACAAUAAUUGAAAUGUGAAUCAGAAUAAAUUAAAUUCAUUUGAAGUAAAAUGAAUUCCAUUAUACUCUAUUUUGAUCAAAUGAUCAACACUUGUACAUAGUGCCAUUUACUUUGUGUUCUUCACUCUCGCGCUGUGUUGUGAUCGUUCGAAACUCAUUGCCAGAACGAAUGCAAAUUUCAUUUGGGAAGGAUCGGUGCCGGAAGAUGCAGUGAAAAUUAUAAAAUGUUUAUAGAAAAGUGGUUAAGUAAAUCGUGAAAGAUGUAAACGCAGGCGCAACUGCAGUUUGUUUUGUUACAUGAUCUACGGCUAUCUCAUUACCAAAGCAUCUGAUAGCCGAUCAAAGAAGGUGAAUCGGGCUUACAGAGUCGCCGUUUAAAUUCAAAUAUCUUCGUGAUCGAAAAACGCAUCAAACAACAAGUGUUUUUCUUCCAACAGCACGCGCCAUCGGUGGAGCAAGCAGCCAACGUUUUGAUCGCCAGUACGCGCCAUCAAGAAUUGAAAUAUUCCCGAAUAGCUCUGUGAAUAAAAAACUGCACAUUUACUGUCCGAAUUUCCUGGAAUUUUUUGAUCGGCCUACGCUCGCGGGAAUGGUAGGUCCGUUGAGGAGAAGGAAAGAAAGGGUGGGAGCGAGGAUUAACCAAAAACGUGGCAUUGAGAAUGAGGGGAGGUGCGAUCAGCGCUCACGCUGGGACACUCACGAUGCUUGAAAUAAAAUGUUAACAAGCAUCGAUUUCAAGCAUGCAUGUCGCGCGACAUUUUGCCAAGCGGGGUUACGACAAAAGCCCUUACCCCCUUCCCAACCGGCAUUAUCGCACGAUUUUUAUGUGUAUCUAUCAUUUUUCUCAUUCUAACAUUCAGAAAAUUUUUCACUCUGUCUUGCUCUUCUGGGUGUUGGUCACUUUUUGCUCGCAACUUGGCUGUGUUUCACCAACCAUCCUCAUGUUGCAUAUGGUUCUUCUCUUUCCAUCGUUCGAGAGAAACUCUUGUGUCUCGCUUUUCUGGGACUUGUCCAAUUUCGCUUGCUACACCAAGCGUUCACGCAAGCGAUCUUCUCUCGUCCGCUCUUUGUAUCAUCUUGCAGGUACUCCCCGAUAUACGCUAUUAAUGCGGACCGGCAAUAGCGUAUCUCGAAUAUUAGCAAACGUCGAGUUUUCAGUCAAAUUAUAGCUAAUUUUCGUAUAAUUUUGCUUGAAGUGGUAGGAUUAACCACUUAAUUAGUUAUUUGAUCUGAUUCAACUGAAGAUUACAAUUGUACCCCUUUUGAAAUGGCUUUUAAUAUUCGAUCAAAAGGGAAUUUAUUUUGAAUUUGAUAUUCGAUGUGUCAAAUUAGUACAAUUUGCUCAAAGAACUUUCAAAUUUAGAAAAAAAGCUUAUAGCGAAAUCGCGUAUAUCGAGUAUGGCGUAUAUCGGGGAAUACCUGUAUAGCCACCAGAGGAAGGCGCUGCUUCGCGUUCACAUGAAAAUGUGGUAGUGUGAAAUCAAGUUUGCAAGCGGUAGGCUACGUCGAUGCGUGCCCGUUUUUUUCUCUCGUGAAACCAGUACGGAAAAACUAUUUGCAAAUCGUAACACACGCACAAACGGAAGUGAGCACGGACCACGAUAGAAAUAAUUAAUUGGUUGCAGUGCCAAAAACAAAAGGACAGGAGAGGCAGGAACGAUCAUUCAACGCGUUAGCGCCGGACGAAGGAGAAGCGGCAGGAAGGCAGGAACGAU